rnacentral:lncRNA from 1 species
GCAUGAUAUUUUCUGAAGGAGAUUUAACUUCUUCAUUUUAUUUUUUUUGGUCCUGGUUUCCACGAAAGCCUUCAGCCUUGGCUCCGGCUGACCAGGGUUCUAGUCCAAACUUGGCCAUCAACUCGUGAUGCAUUUAGGCAAACCAUUCGUUCUCUCUGGGACUCUUCAUUUCCCAUCUGCAGAUGAGUGUUCUGAACUGGGUGAUGGCCAGGUUCAGCUCAAACUGCAUGUGACCCUACUUGACUUUGAACCCUGUGAAUAAUCUAAAGCUGAAUUAAAGUUGGAAGGAGGAGGGGUUCUCUCAGUGUGUUUGUUCCCUUGUUUAUUGAUUGGCUUUAAAAAAAAUUCAGGAGAGCGGUGCCUGGGUGGCUCAGUCGGUUGGGUGUCUGACUUCGGCUCAGGUCAUGAUCUCACAAUUCGUGGGUGCAAGCCCCACAGCAGCCUCUGUGCUGCCAGCACAGAGCCAGCUUCUGGUUCUCUGUCUCCCUCUCUUCUGCCCCUCACCUGCUCAUUCUUGUUCUCCCUCUCUCAAAGAAAAACAAACAUUAAUUUUUUUUUUUUUUUUUUAAUUUCAGGAGAAGGCAUUUUCCAUGAAAAAUCAACACACCAUGUCUUGGGAGAGCUGGGGAUCCUACCUGGCACCUUGUGGGAAACACUUCAGGCCUGGAUGAAAGAAGAAGGAAGACGGGGCCAAAAUGAAGUCAGGAGGAACAGAGAUGCUGCAAGCCAGAGGACACAUCACUCUAAAAGGCUUUAUAGAGAAGGCUGAGUACGGAUGGAAAAUUUAUGCCUGGAAGGAUGUUACCAUACAGAAAAGAUUUGGGGGUACGUAAGAAUUGGUAGAAAUUCUUUCUCAGCUGGAAAUUCUGGCCCAAGGUUUCCAAAGCAAGCAUAAUUUUGUAGACUUCAGCUUUUAUGAAUUACCGUGAGGGCUGAUACUGCCUUAUGUCAAAUUUCUUAAGUAGAGGAAUGUCUCUUAAUUAAUCAUUAAAAAAAAAUAAAAGAAUAAAGCCAGAAGAAAAUUACA